rnacentral:SRP_RNA from 1 species
UAGAGCCCCCUGCGUGGCGGCAUCUUCGUGAACUCCCCCAGGGCAGAAAUGCAGCAAGGGUAGCGGGGCUCUGCCGGGUGCGCAGGGGGUCUUUCGU